CAGGGAGACAACAAAAUGUUUAAUAUUAUUAUUUUGUCACCUUAGGUCGAUCGGUAUCUCACAUUCUUGAUUUAUCAAGAAUUUCAUUUCCUAAGUUUUUCUAGGUCACACCCAUUAUUUUUCCUGGGCCAUUAGCUCAGGUGGUUAGAGCGCACCCCUGAUAAGGGUGAGGUCCCUGGUUCAAGUCCAGGAUGGCCCAUAUCUCUAUGUUGGGGGUAUAGCUCAGUUGGUAGAGCGCCUGCUUUGCAAGCAGGAUGUCAGCGGUUCGAGUCCGCUUACCUCCACUGAUUACCACCUCUUCCAUAUUUUUAGUAAGGAAAAUUUUGAGUUGUGAUCAAAUUCUGAACGAAUCUAGCUUCCUAAUGUAAUCAUUAAGAUGCUGGACUCAUUGAAUUAAUUUCAUUGUUUUCAGAGAACCUUGACAACUGCAUAGAUUAUUUUUUAAAAGACAAUAAGCAUCUUUAAUGAUGCAGAUUUAUUAUUUGUGCUAAAGCAUUAAUAACAAUUCUAUUAAGCUGAUGCUUCAAUUUUGAAGUUAUU
rnacentral:tRNA from 1 species